rnacentral:rRNA from 1 species
UACGAAGGGGGCGAGCGUUGUUCGGAUUUACUGGGCGUAAAGGGCGCGUAGGCGGCCCUGUUUGUCGCGUGUGAAAGCCCCGGGCUCAACCUGGGAACGGCGCGCGAUACGGCGGGGCUAGAGAUCGGGAGAGGAGCGUGGAAUUCCCAGUGUAGAGGUGAAAUUCGUAGAUAUUGGGAAGAACACCGGUGGCGAAGGCGGCGCUCUGGACCGAGACUGACGCUGAGGCGCGAAAAGCGUGGGGGAGCAAACAGG